UUUAGAGAACAAUGUAUAUCAAAGUGCACUGUGAAUGAUUUGUGCAGACAUUUGUUUCAAAUGAUGGAUGCUCUUAAUUAAAGCUAACCCUGGGGGUAAGAUUCUUGAAGGAAGGACUGUUAUCUGUCUAGCUGGAAGAAACUGCUUGCCCAGAGUAAUAGACAGGAAAAGGCAAAAGUGAAGUUACUCUGCCAUGCAGGUGAGUGAGUUCAUAAUGAAAACCACCACUGAAUACUAAAAAUCACCAAGCAAGAUUCCAGGGUGAGUUAAUGAAAUGGCAUGUUCCUUCUUGGCAUUGUGCCUCUGAGAAUCUAUCUUGUGUUUCUCGUGCAUUUUUCUGUUGUAAAACUAUGGGUUACUAGUGCUAUGUAUGGCCCUGUGGACAGUCCAGGUUCUAGCAUUUAAUCAGUUAUAGUAGUGUUCACACAUAUCUAAAUAUAAUAUUACAAGUGUCAAAAUAAAAUUUCUAAGGUACUUCAGAAGUUAACCUUCUAAAUCCUAAAGUCUCAAAGACUUAAUGAAAAACAUUCCAAUUAGAUGAAUUAACGAAUACAUUUUAGUCUCUCAAUCCUUUUUAAACAACAAUUACUGAAAAGAUGAUGCAAAAUAAUGUGCACAGAACAGGAUAUACUAAUGUUCAUGUUUAAAUUCAUAAUCGCUCUAAAUGUUGUAUUUCAGGACCUAUAUGAAUGCAACUACUCACUCGGAAAUUAUACCCAGACGUUUGGCUUUAUUUAAUAUUUGAUAGUGCUCAGAAUAUGCUAUCUCAAAACAUGGUGGCUAGUCAUGGGGAGAAUUUGAGCCAAAGAAUGAAUGUGAGGAAGGACUCUGCUUUUACCCUGAAGCUGCUCAUAAAACCUAGAAAGGGCUUCCUGACAUUUCCUGAAACAGGUCAGAAGCACCACAUGUCCCUCCAUGGAGGAAAGAAAGGAGCAGCCUCAUAGCUACAGACUGAUGAAGGCAUACACAGGGGACAGGAGCCAAAAGCCCUCACUAUUUGCCAUUCACCUGCUUGGCUCAUAAUGGUUUUAUUUUGUCACACACUCUAUAACAUUCCACUUGUCAUCAACUCCAGUAUAAAAUCUCAGGUCUCAGCACUUGUUGAGGGCUUUCCUUCCUUGGGAAGGAUCUGGUGUUGUGAAAGUUUGUACUAGGUAAGUCUCCAUGCUUUUCUCCUCUCUGUCUCUGCUUUGUUAUGGAGUCCCCAAAAAGGGACUAAAUGUGGGUAGAAGGAAAAAGUAUUUUUCCUCCUGCAUUUACUAUUUUUCUUCUAAAACUCUUAUUUGUCAACCAAAUGAUAACACUCUCAUUUUUUAAAAAAAGUUCUCUCUUCUUCAAAAAACGUCUUCUAUUAGAGCCAACAAAUAAAACUGUUCAAUUCUCCCUUCUAAGGAUACCUUGGAGGAAUGGCAAUUUGAAUGGAACAGGCCCUCAUCAGCUCAUAUGGAGUGGCAUUAUUAGGAGGUGGUUACAUCUAUACAAGAGAGGCUUCCUGAAAUGCCAAAUCUGUCAGUUCUGACUAGACCAAGAGCCCUUAUAAAACCAAGAAUGAAUCCACGAGUAGAUGGGCAGAUGUCAAAGCAGAAGUACAUACAACAACAUAAAGAGCAAUACAGCAACACCAGAAUCUAGCCCUCCUCCAACAGCAAGACCUGAACAUCACAGAGUGGAAGAAGGAGAAGAAAGUAUCCUUAAGAAUAGCAUCAUGAAGAUGCUAGAGGCCUUUAAAGAAAAAAUCAAAUAUGAAAUUGAGAAAGAGAUAAACCAAAAAGUGGAGGAAAUCAGUAAAGAAAAUGAAAAGCAAACAAAAAAUGGGAAGAACUCUAUAAAAAAACUAUAGGAAAGGACAAAUAAAGCAGAAGAAAACUAUAAUUCCUUUAAAGAAAGCCAUGAGAAAGCAAUGAAACAGGUGAGGGAAACAGUCCAAAAUCUGAAAAGGGAAAUAGAAACAAUGAAGAAGACAUAAACAGAGGGAAUGCUGGAAAUAGAAAAUCUGAGUAAAUGAACAGGAAACACAGAUGCAAGCAUAACCAACAGAAUACAAGAAAUGGAAGAGAGGAUCUCUGGUGUAGAGGAUACAAUAGAGGAAAUGGAUUCAUCAGUCAAAGAAAAUACCGAUGCCCAAAAAAAUCAUAACACAAAAUGUCCAAGAACUCUGGGACACCAUGAAAAGACCAAACCUAUGAAUAAUAGGGAUAGAGGAAGGAAAAGAAUACCAACUCAAAGGCACAGAAAAUAUAUUCAACAAGAUCAUAGAAGAAAAUUUUCCCAACUUAAAGAAGGAAAUGCCUAUGAAGAUACAAGAAGCCUAUAGAACACCAAACAGACUAGACCCCCCCCCCCCAAAAAUAGUCCCCUCGCCACAUAAUAAUUCAACGACUAAACAUACAGAAUAAAGAAAAAAAAUUUAAGAGCAACAAAGGAAAAAGACCAAGUGACUUAUAAAGACAAAGCCAUCAGAAUAACACCCAAUUUCUCAAUGGAGUCUUUGAAAGCCAGAAGGACCUGGACAGAUAUAAUGCAGACACUAAGAGACCAUGGAUGCCAGCUUAGACUAAUAUGCCCAGCAAAACUUUCUAUCAUCAUAGACGGAGUGAACAAGACAUUCCAAGACAAAGCCAGAUUUAAGCAAUACUUAUCCACAAACCCAGCCCUACAGAAAGCACUAGAAGGAAAAUUCCAACCUAAGGAAGUCAGAUACACCCACAAAAACACAGGCAAUAGAAAAACACCACAGCAGUAAACCCCAAAGAAGAGAAGUACAUACACACUACCACCAAAAAUAUAACAGGAAUGAACAAUCACUGGCCAUUAAUAUCCAUUAAUAUCAAUGGAGUUAAUUCACCUAUAAGCAGACAAACGCUAACAGAAUGGAUAUUAAAGCAGGACCCAUCUUUCUGCUGCAUACAAGAAACACACCUCAAAUUCAAAGAUAGACACUACCAAAGAAUAAAAGGUUGGGAAAAUUCUUUCCAAUCAAAUGGUCUUAAGGAGCAAGCAGGUGUGGCCAUCCUAAUAUCCAGCAAAAUAGACUUCAAACUAAAAUCAAUCAAAAGAGAUCAAGAAGGGCAUUAUAUACUCAUCACAGGAAAUAUCCACCAAGAUGAAGUUUCAAUUCUGAACAUUUAUGCCCCAAACACAAGGAUACCCACAUAUGUAAAAGAAACAUUACUAAAGCUUAAAUCAUAUAUAAAACCCCACACAUUAAUAGUGGGAGACUUCAACACCUCACUCACACCACUGUACAGACCUGCCAAAUCUAAACUUAACAGAGAAAUAAAGGUCUUAACUGAUGUUAUGAUUCAAAUGGACUUAAUCGAUAUCUACAGAUAUUCCAUCCUAACAAAAAAGAAUAUACCUUCUCAGCACCUCAUGGAUCCUUCUCUAAAAUCAACCACAUACUUGGCAACAAAGCAAAUUUCAACAGAUACAAAACAAUUGGAAUAACCUCCUAUGUUCUAUCAGACCACCACAGUUUAAAGUUAGAUUUCAACAACAACAAAAACUACAGAAAGCCUACAAUCUCAUGGAAACUAAAUAAUGCUCAAUUGAAUCACCAAUGGGUUAAGAAAGAAAUAAAGAAAUUGAAGACUUCCUAGAGAUCAAUGAAAAUGAAUAUACCACAUACCCAAACUUAUGGCACACUAUGAAAGCAGUGCUAAGAGGGAAAUUCAUAGCACUAAAUGUCCACAUAAAGAAGUUGGAGAAAUCUCACACUAGUGACUUAACAGCACACCUGAAAGCUCUAGAACAGUAAGAAGCAAAGUCACCCAAGAAAAAUAGAUGCCAGGAAAUAAUCAAAUUGACAGCUGAAAUCAAUAAAAUAGAAACAAAGAGAACAAUACAAAAAAUUAAUGAAACAAAGAGUUGGUUCUUUGAGAAAAUCAACAAGAUAGACAAGCCCUUAUCCAAACUAACAAAAAGGCAGAGAGAUGGAGCAUCCAAAUUAACAAAAUCAGAAAUGAAAAGGGAGACAUAACAACUAACACUGAGGAAAUCCAGAGAAUCAUCAGGUCAUAAUUCAAAAACCUCUAUUCCACAAAACUGGAAAAAUCUAAAAGAAAUGGAUAAUGUUCUGGAUAGGUGCCACAUACCUAAGUUAAAUCAAGACCAGAUAAACUAUUUAAACAGUCCAAUAACCCCUAAGGAAAUAGAAUCAGUAAUUAAAAGUCUCCCAACCAAAACAGCCCAGGAUCAGAUGGUUUUGGUGCAGAAUUCUACCAGAUCUUCAAAAUAGAGUUAAUACCAAUACUCUUUAAAUUGUUUCCCACAAUAGAAACAGAAGGAACAUUACCAAACUCCUUCUAUGAGGCUACAAUUACUCUGAUUCCCAAGCCAAACAAAGAUGCAACAAAGAAAGAGAACUACAGACCAAUCUCCCUCAUGAACACUGAUGCAAAAAUACUCAAUAAAAUACUGGUAAACAGUCUCCAAGAACACCUCAAAGCAAUUAUCCACCAUGAUCAAGUAGGCCUCAUCCCAGGGAUGCAAGGGUGGUUCAACAUAUGAAAGUCUGUCAAUGUAAUACACCAUAUAAACAAACUCAAAGAAAAAAAAAACCACAUGAUCAUUUCACUAGAUGCAGAAAAGGCAUUUGACAACAUCGAACACCCCUUCAUGAUAAAGGUCUUGGAAUACAGGGAACACACCUAAACAUAAUAAAGGCAAUUUACAGCAAGCCAACAACCAACAUCAAAGUAAAUGGAGAGAACUCAAAGUGAUUCCACUAAAAUCAGGAACAAGGCAAGGCUGUCCGCUCUCCCAAUACUUAUUCAAUACAGUACUUGAAGUUCUAGCCAGAGCAAUAAGACAACAUAAGGAGAUUAAGGGGAUACAAAUUUGAAAGGAAGAAGUCAAAAUUUCGCUAUUUGCAGAUGACAUGAUAGUAUACAUGAGUGACCCCAAAAAUUUGACCAAGGAAAUCAUACAGCUUAUAAACACAUUCAGCAACAUAGCAGGAUACAAGAUUAUACAGGAUACUGAUAAAAAAAAUCAGUAGCCCUCCUAUAUAAAAUUGACAAACAGGCUGGGAAGGAAAUCAGAGAUACAUCACCCUUUACAAUAGCCACGAAUGAUAUAAAAUACCUUGGGGUAACUCUAACUGACCAAGUGAAGGACCUGUAUGACAAGAACUUUAAGUCCCUGAAAAAAGAAAUUGAAGAAGAUGUCAGAAAAUGGAAAGAUCUCCCAUGCUCAUGGAUAGAUGGAUAGGCAGGAUUAACAUAAUAAAACAGCAAUCUACCAAAAGCAAUAUACAGAUUCAAUGCAAUACCCAUCAAAAUACCAACACAGUUCUUCACAGACCUAGAAAGAACAAUACUCAACUUCAUAUGGAAAAAAAAAACCCAGGAUAGCCAAAAGAAUCUUGUACAAUAAAACAACCUCUGGAGGCAUCACGAUCCCUGACUUAAAGCUCUGCUAUAGAGCCACAGUAAUAAAAACAGCUUGGUACUGGCAUAAAAACCGACAUGUGGACCAAUGGAAUUGAAUUGAAGACCCUGACAUUAAUCUGCACACCUAUGAACAUAUAAUUUUUGACAAAGAAAUGAAAACUGUGCCAUGGAAAAAAGACAGCAUCUUCACCAAUUGGUGCUGGCAUAACUGGAUGUCAUCAUGUAGAAGGCUACAAAUAGAUCCAUAUCUGUCACCGUGCACAAAACUUAAGUCCAAGUGGAUCAAAGACCUCAACAUAAAUCCAGUUACUCUGAAUCUGAUAGAAGAGAAAGUAGGAAGUAGUUUUGAAUGCAUUGGCACAGGAGAACACUUCCUAAAUAUAACACCAGUAGCACAGACACUGAGAGAAACAAUCAAUGGGACCUCUUGAAACUUAGAAGCUUUUGUAGAGCAAAGGACAUGGUCAACAAGACAAGUGACAGCUUACAGAAUCGAUAAAGGUCUUCACCAUCACCACAUCUGACAGAGGGCUGAUAUCUAGAAUAUAUAAAGAACUCAAGAAAUUAGACAUCAAAAUGCCCAACAGUUCAAUUAAGAAAUGGGCUAUAGAACUAAACAGAGAAUUCUCAACAGAGGAAACUCAAAUGGCUGAAAGACAUUUAAGGAAUUGCUCAACAUCCCUAAUCAUCAGGGAAAUGCAAAUCAAAACAACUCUGAGAUACCACCUUACACCUGUCAGAACGGCUAAGAUCAAAAACACUAAAGGCAGCUUAUGCUGGAGAGGAUGUGGAGCACAGCGAACUCUCGUCCACUGUUGGUAGGAGUGCAAGCUUGUACAGCCACUUUGGAAAUCAAUAUGGAGCUUUCUUAUAAAAUUGGGAAUCAAUCUCCCCCAAGACCCAGCUAUACCACUCUUGGGCAUAUUCCCAAGGAAUGUUCAAUCAUACCACAUGGGCAAAUGCUCAGCUAUGUUCACAGCAGCAUUAUUUGUGAUAGUCAGAACCUGGAAACAACCUAGAUGACCUUCAACUGAAGAAUGGAUAAAUAAAAUGUGGUACAUAU